rnacentral:rRNA from 1 species
GGUGAACCGGGCUUCGGCCCGGGGAUCAGUGGCGAACGGGUGCGUAACACGUGGGCAACCUGCCCCCGACCCUGGGAUAACCCCGGGAAACCGGAGCUAAUACCGGAUACUCUCCUCCGACCGCUUGGUCGAGGGAGGAAAGGUCCGCCGGUCGGGGAUGGGCCCGCGGCCUAUCAGCUUGUUGGUGGGGUAACGGCCUGCCAAGGCGACGAAGGGUAGCUGGUCUGAGAGGACGACCAGCCACACUGGGACUGAGACACGGCCCAGACUCCUACGGGAGGCAGCAGUGGGGAAUCUUGCGCAAUGGGCGAAAGCCUGACGCAGCCAUGCCGCGUGUAUGAUGAAGGUCUUAGGAUUGUAAAAUACUUUCACCGGUGAAGAUAAUGACUGUAGCCGGAGAAGAAGCCCCGGCUAACUUCGUGCCAGCCGCCGCAGUAACAC